CCUACGGGAGGCAGCAGUGGGGAAUAUUGCACAAUGGGGGAAACCCUGAUGCAGCGACGCCGCGUGCGUGAAGAAGUAUUUCGGUAUGUAAAGCUCUAUCAGCAGGGAAGUAAAAAGACGGUACCUGACUAAGAUGCCUCGGCCAACGACGUGCCAGCAGCCGCGGUAAUACGUAGGGGGCAAGCGUUAACCGGAUUUACUGGGUGUAAAGGGAGCGUAGGCGGUAUGGCAAGUCUGAGGUGAAAGCCCAGGGCUUAACCCUGGGACUGCCUUUGAAACCGUUAGACUAGAGUGCUGGAGAGGUAAGUGGAAUUACUAGUGUAGCGGUGAAAUGCGUAGAUAUUAGGAAGAACACCGGUUGCGAAGGCAGCUUACUGGACAGUAACUGACGUUGAGGCACGAAAGCGUGGGGAGCAAACAGGAUUAGAUACCCGUGUAGUC
rnacentral:rRNA from 1 species